rnacentral:rRNA from 1 species
GACGAACGCUGGCGGCGUGCCUAAUACAUGCAAGUCGAGCGCAGGAAACUGACGGAACUCUUCGGAGGGAAGGCAGUGGAAUGAGCGGCGGACGGGUGAGUAACACGUAAGGAACCUGCCUCAAGGAUUGGGAUAACUCCGAGAAAUCGGAGCUAAUACCGGAUAGUUCAACGGACCGCAUGGUCCGCUGAUGAAAGGCGCUCCGGCGUCACCUUGAGAUGGCCUUGCGGUGCAUUAGCUAGUUGGUGGGGUAACGGCCCACCAAGGCGACGAGGCAUAGCCGACCUGAGAGGGUGAUCGGCCACACUGGGACUGAGACACGGCCCAGACUCCUACGGGAGGCAGCAGUAGGGAAUCUUCCACAAUGGACGAAAGUCUGAUGGAGCAACGCCGCGUGAGUGAUGAAGGUUUUCGGAUCGUAAAACUCUGCUGUAAGGGAAGAACACGUACGAGAGGGAAUGCUCGUACCUUGACGGUACCUUACGAGAAAGCCACGGCUAACUACGUGCCAGCAGCCGCAGUAA